GUAUUAUACGAAGGGAGAGAAGGUUAGCGUUCCCCUUGAUAAGGACGGACAACACGUUAUGACACGGUCUGGGCAGGCAGCAAUGUUUGAGAAGUGUAAUUGCCACUGUUUGCU